UUGAACGCUGGCGGCAGGCCUAACACAUGCAAGUCGAACGGUAACAGGAAGAAGCUUGCUUCUUUGCUGACGAGUGGCGGACGGGUGAGUAAUGUCUGGGAAACUGCCUGAUGGAGGGGGAUAACUACUGGAAACGGUAGCUAAUACCGCAUAACGUCGCAAGACCAAAGAGGGGGACCUUCGGGCCUCUUGCCAUCGGAUGUGCCCAGAUGGGAUUAGCUAGUAGGUGGGGUAACGGCUCACCUAGGCGACGAUCCCUAGCUGGUCUGAGAGGAUGACCAGCCACACUGGAACUGAGACACGGUCCAGGCUCCUACGGGAGGCAGCAGUGGGGAAUAUUGCACAAUGGGCGCAAGCCUGAUGCAGCCAUGCCGCGUGUAUGAAGAAGGCCUUCGGGUUGUAAAGUACUUUCAGCGGGGAGGAAGGGAGUAAAGUUAAUACCUUUACUCAUUGACGUUACCCGCAGAAGAAGCACCGGCUAACUCCGUG
rnacentral:rRNA from 1 species